GAGACUUAUCUUAUAACUGUUAAAACAUCUUUCAAGUUAUUGUUAUAGUUGAAGUAUAUAUAAGGACACGUUAAAAAGAAAGAGUUCAUAUAGCAUAGGAAAUUUUCAUGUACAUGGUUAUAUUGUUGAUGCUACUGCAGAAUGAUGAUGAUGAUGAUGAUGAUGUUCGUGAUGAUGAUGAUGAUGAUGAUGAUGAUGAUGAUGAUGAUUAGGUAUCACCAUUUUUGAACACUGUUGCGUUGCUCUGCACAAUACAUAGAAAAGCGAGGAUAACUGUGACUGCGCACAGGGUUAACAAUCAUUAACGGAUGGGUACAAAUUUAUUCGAUAAAAAUCAACAUGUAUAAAAAUGGUGGACUGCUACGCUCAUUUCGUGACCCAGAGUAUAUUUAUGUGAAAAUAACGACUCUAACGACAAAUCCAACCCAGUUAAGAUCACUGUCAGGACCAUUUCCUGUAUUGGUGGAGGAGAAAACUGAUGCUCCCUCCUAUUGGGAUACAGAUGCAGAGAACUCGAUAUUCAAAAGCUGGAGCUACAGCUGCGGCAAAUUAAAAUGGAAAUUAUGAUGGCAGUGGCCUACUUGAGUUUCACAAAACUUCCACUGAGAUUGAGACCAGCAUGCAAGACCAAAGGCAAAAAACACAACAAGAUUCACAAUAUGGAAUCAAAAGGAGCUGACAGGGUAGACUGAUUUAUUAAAACACAGAUGAUAACACAGACAGAAAUUUCAACAGCGGUAGUCUUCGAUAUGUUAAAGAUACUGCUGUGGGUGUACAUGGACUUCUGAAGCAUCAGUCUGAUUUACUAGCAGAACUGUGAAUGCAACAUCUCUAGCCAGAAAUAAUUAUCCUGAGCGGCAUGUCUUUCAUGGUACUGAAAACUAACCAUGGAUACUGGAGGCUGAUAGAACCAAGCAUGGACACUGGUAAAACCUACCCUGGAUGUUGAUAGAAACAACCAUGGAUGCUGAUAGAACCUACUGUAGAAGCCGAUAUAACCAACAUUGGACAAUAUCAUAACUUACCAUGGGCAGUGAAAGAAUUGAAGAAUUGACCAAAGGCAGUAAAGUUCAAGCAUAUUCCUCAGGAUCCCCUACAUCUCUACAUAGAGGGACACGCAAACAGCCACAUCAUAUUCCUGAGGACCUUUACAUCUCUACAAGGAGGGACACACAAACAGACACAUCAUAUUCCUGAGGACCUUUACAUAUCUACUAGGAGGGACACAUAAACAGACUCAUCAUAUUCCUGAGGAUCUUUACAUCUCAACAUAAAGGGUCACACAAACAGCCACAUCAUAUUCCUGAGGACCUUUACUUCUCAACAAUGAGGGACACACAAACAGCCACAUCAUAUUCCUGAGGACCUUUACAUCUCAAUAUAGAGGGACACACAAACAGACGCAUCAUAUUCCCGAGGACCUUUACAUCUCUACACGGAGGAACACACAAACAGCCACAUCAUAUUCCUGAGGACCUUUACUUCUCAACCUAAAGGGUCACACAAACAGCCAAAUCAUAUUCCUGAGGACCUUUACAUCUUUACAAGGAGGGACACACAAACAGCCACAUCAUAUUCCUGAGGACCUUUACAUCUCAAAAUAGAGGGACACAGAAACAGCCACAUCAUAUUCCUGAGGAUCUUUACAUCUCUACAAGGAGGGACACACAAACAGCCACAUCGUAUUCCUGAGGACCUUUACAUCUCAACAUAGAGGAACAGAUAAACAGCCACAUCAUAUUCCUGAGGACCUUUACAGGUCAAAAUAGAGGGACACACAAACAGCCACUUCGUAUUCCUGAAGAUCUUUACCUCUCAACGUAGAGGGACACACAAACAGCCACAUCAAAUUCCUGAGGACCUUUACAUCUCAACAUAGAGGGACACACAAACAGCCACAUCAUGUUCCUGGAGACCUUUACAUCUCAAUAUUUAGUGACACACAAACAGCCAUAUCAUAUUCCUGAGGACCUUUCAGCAAAUUGAGUUAUUGUCCUGUGUUACGUUUCUUGAUCAGAACCAUUUUUGAAAACUACAGGAUGUAUUUCAACUACUGUCUACACACCACAGUUAAGCACAAUGAGAAUAAGUAGAGUGUACAAGAAACUGUUAAAGCUACUAACAGAUCGUUUGCCCUUUGUAACUUUUUCAUAAACAACUGGCUCCGAUUUCUCGAAACUACUUAAGCUUUACAGGCUUAAGUAGCUUAUUUCAAAAUGCCAAAAUAUAUACUUAACUAGAUUUUGAUAAAUCAUAAAAACCUCUUCUGAUAAUCAUGAUGAUAAUUCCUUUCUCAAGUAUAAAAUAUCUUAAAGAAGUAAACAUUACGCAAUUUAUUGUAAUCCAAAAAUAGUGAGCUUAGCUUAAUCCUGUUUAAAGGGACUUCAAAAGAUUCGAGAAUUCGGGGCCAGAGCAUUUCUUUAACAUUUCUAGAUCAAAUUCAGUGGAGCUUCAUUCAAUGAUAGAAUUGAAUGAGAGUAAGUAUAUUAUAUAAGAACUAUCAGUCAAGUUAAGCUUUUCGCAGUUAUUGCCAUGUAUGACAUUUUUCCUUGUCCAUAACUUAAAAAUACUUGUUAGAACUUACAUACAAUUGUAAAGCACAGUGAUGGUUAGAACUUAAUUAAACUACAUACAAUUGUAAAGCACAGUGAUAGGAAGUAAAGUAUACAUAACACUAUUAUACCUUAUAAAGAUGGCAUUAUUCCCCUGUCCGGAACAUAACUACUUGAUGAAACUUUAUGAAACAUUUUUUAAAGCACAAUGAGCGGAAAUGCACUGUAUGAAAAGCAUAACUCUAUUUCAGCUCAGUGCAGAGCUACUGCCCUUUGUCACUUUUUUUGUUCGGAAAACUUAAAUACUACUCGAUGGAAUUUAAUUAACAACUCUGUUUUAGGGAAUAUUAGAAUAAUAAUGAAUGCUACACUUGUUUCCCUAGCGCCGGUUGGUGACUCAGUUUGUUGAAGGAUUUGCAUAAUAGCAACAAUGCAUUCAAGAUCUAAGCAAGUAUAUCAUGUAUUGAUUGAAAAAAAAUAUAUGUGUUCCCAACAUUAUUUAAUAAUUAUUAAUGAUUCUGUUUGAUUAUACGUAUAGGAAAACAAAGCAAAUUAUGGACCUUUUUCUUUUGACAUGGACAUUCUGAUUAAGGUUUUGCAUGUAAGCACAUAUAUCAGCCAUUAGUUGAUGCAUUGAUUGUAUUUCGACUUUAUACAAUGAUACUCAACCGUUCAUCCCAAUCAAAUAACCAAGUUUAUUUGUGACAUUUGUACUUAACUAUCCAACCUCUGAUUAGGCCAAUUUUAUAGUUCUUUUGGGUUGAUUAUGGCUUGUACGUCAAAACAAAUUGUUUAAGUUGUGCAUGUAAGAAAA